rnacentral:tRNA from 9 species
CCGGAAUAGCUCAGUCGGUAGAGCAGAGGACUGAAAAUCCUCGUGU